AACGAACGCUGGCGGCAGGCUUAACACAUGCAAGUCGAACGCCCCGCCAGGGGAGUGGCAGACGGGUGAGUAACGCGUGGGAACAUACCCUUUUCUACGGAAUAGCUCUGUGAAACUGGAAUUAAUACCGUAUACGCCCUACGGGGGAAAGAUUUAUCGGGGAAGGAUUGGCCCGCGUUGGAUUAGCUAGUUGGUGGGGUAAACGCCUACCAAGGCGACGAUCCAUAGCUGGUCUGAGAGGAUGAUCAGCCACAUUGGGACUGAGACACGGCCCAAACUCCUACGGGAGGCAGCAGUGGGGAAUAUUGGACCAUGGGCGCAAGCCUGAUCCAGCCAUGCCGCGUGAGUGAUGAAGGCCUUAGGGUUGUAAAGCUCUUUCACCGAUGAAGAUAAUGACGGUAGUCGGAGAAGAAGCCCCGGCUAACUUCGUG
rnacentral:rRNA from 1 species